rnacentral:rRNA from 1 species
AACGAACGCUGGCGGCAGGCUUAACACAUGCAAGUCGAGCGCACUCUUCGGAGUGAGCGGCGGACGGGUGAGUAAUGUGUGCAGAUAUACCCAAAGGAACGGAAUAACAGUUGGAAACGACUGAUAAGACCGUAUGUGCACUGAGGUGGAAAGAUUUAUCGCCUUUGGAUUAUUUCAUAUCGGAUUAGCUAGUUGGUGGGGUAAUUGCCUACCAAGGCUAUGAUCCGUAGCCGGCCUGAGAGGGUGAACGGCCACACCGGGACUGAGACACGGCCCGGACUCCUACGGGAGGCAGCAGUGGGGAAUAUUGGACAAUGGGGGCAACCCUGAUCCAGCCAUGCCGCGUGCGUGAAGAAGGCCUUAGGGUUGUAAAGCGCUUUUGCUAGGGAUGAUAAUGACCGUACCUAGAGAAUAAGCCCCGGCUAACUCCG